rnacentral:pre_miRNA from 1 species
UCAGCUGUACAAUUGGCAUUGUGUAUGAUAAAUGAAUACAUUAACACAAGUCUUUGUAUAGCUUAUA